CUCUACAUGCCUGGCUCCCGCACACCCUCCCCAAAACCAUGGUGCUGGCAGUGGUGGCCAUCGGCUUCGUCCUCCUGGCUGCAGGCAGCUGGUUUGCCAUCAGGAAAGGUGCCUGCAGAGGGAGAUGCCCAAGGCAGCAGCACGUUGACAGCCCACAGAUGGAAACCACAGACCAUGGCGAAGUCACAUGUGAGUACUACCUCCUCCCUUGGCGGAAGGCAUUCACCCAUGUCAGGUGGAAUUCCAGCACUUCAUUUCCCACUGGGACAUACAAAAUCCCUGCCCGUUCAUUAAGGCCAGGUUUCUCUCCAGCACCUCAUGUCCUGCUUCUUCCUUGCAUGCAGAGCAUGGCUGCUGCCUGCACAAGGGACAUGGCAGCAUCCCAGUGCUCCCAGGGACAAAGCUCAUUUGCUUGGGGGGUCCUUCCACACCAGCUCCGGCCUGAGGCAGCAUUUCCCCUGCUUCAGCCUCUGCUUUUGUCCUUUCUUCAGUUUCUCUUCAGUGUCUUUUCUGCUUCAAGAACUACACAAAGCACAUCACAGCAACGAAAGAUGUGGCUCUGUUUCCUUGCCUUGCUGGGGAAAAUAUUUUAGAUCUUGCUCUGAAACCACAGGCAGCAGCCAAGGGAGGAUGUUGUGGUUGGGCGUCGGGCUACAGAUAUAUACCUACCUGACAUGCACGUAGCUUGAGUUGCAGCAUGACCUUUUUUACCCACGCCUGCACAGCGCAUUUUGCAAGGUGUGCUGGCUGUGCAAAGAGAGGCGACGCCACAGAAAGCUGGAAAGACACCAAAACCUCAGCAUCUCUGCUCCACUGCUGCUUAAUGCACAUCGCAGAUCAGGGUGAUGGGAGGGGAAAUGUGGUCAGGCGUUGAGUGUUAACCUCAGGCAGCUGAUGCCCAAAGCUCGUGGGGUUUCACGCCCUUUCAGUCAGCAAGGGCUCAUGGUGUGUUUUUUCCCCACAGACUCCACCGUCGCCCAUGUUUGACGGGACAGGGUGAGUCAUGGCACAGCUGUGCACAGCUCCUUUCUGCACUCCUGCAGCCUGGUGCACGCUCAUUCUGCAGGGCUCACAGUCAGCAGCUGAAGUAACAGGGUUUCAUUUCUCCCUAAAGCCUCGUCCUGUGCAGCACAUGAGCGACACCACUACAUAUGCCACAGUGACCCGAACUCAGACCCGAUAGCGCUGCCACAGGGCAAGGGCACAGGAGCCUUGACCACGGCUGCCUUUACUCUUUUGUAGGGGGCUCUUGAAGCCAUAUCAUGGGGCUGGGGGGUGCACUUUGGGCUUCUCUGGGAUUUUCUGUCACAGGAAAUGCUGUGUGUAUCUGCUUAGCAUCUGCCAAGAGGAUGAAGGACUCAUAUCUCUGUUUGCAAUAAAUUAAUACCUCUAAAAUAUAUCAGGUGUACCAAGUAAUAUUGUGAGUGCAUCAAUGGUUUUACCUCAUGUGAAACCAUCUCCCUGUACUCACUGGAAAUUAUGUAUUCCUAAACUGGAUGAUAAAGUCACAGGGCUGGUCUUCCAUGCACGCACAGUGAUGCACAUUUGGACCUAUAGGGACCGGUAUCACUGCAGGGAUGUGCUUGCAUGUGUCUGCGUUUCAGAUCUGCUUUUGUUUAGAAGAAAAAUGGACGUCCAUAAAUCCACGGUCAGGAUGGGAUGCUCAAGAUGCUCAUGCCAGGAGCUGAGGGAGUUGGUGGAAGUCAUUGCUAGGCCAUUAUCCAUUAUCUGUGGUAAGUAAUGGGCAUCAGGAAAGGUGCCUGAGGACUGCAGGAAAGCAAAUGUUAGUCCAGUCUUCCAAAGGGGAAAGAAGGAUGACCCAGGUAACUAUAGACCAGUCAGCCUCACCUCCAUCCCUGCAAAGCUGAUGGAACAACUUAGCCUUGGCGUUGUCUCCAGGCAUAUCAAGGAUAAAAGUGUCAUUAGGGGAAGUUAACAUGGCUUCACCAAGGGGAAGUAAUGCUUGACCGAACUGCGAGCCUUUUAUGAGGACAUAACUGGGGGGAUAGAUGAUAUUAAAGCAGUGGAUGUGGUCUAUCUUGAUUUCAGUAAAGCCUUUGACACCAUCU